rnacentral:lncRNA from 10 species
GUCUGUGUGUGUGGUGUGUGAGGUCUAUGUGUGUGUGUGGUGUGUGUGAGGUCUGUGUGUGGUGUUUGUGUGAGGUCUGUGUGUGUGUGGUGUGUGAGGUCUGUAUGUGUGUGUGUGGUGUGUCUGAGGUCUGUGUGUGGUGUGUGUGUGAGGUCUGUGUGUGUGUGGUGUGUGCAGUGUGAGUGUAUGUCUGUGCGGUGGCAUCUGUGUGUGUGGUGUGUGAGGUCUGUGUGUAGUGUCAAUGUGAGGUCUGUGUGUGGUGUCUGUGUGAGAUCUGUGUGUGUGUGAGGUUUGUGUGUGUGGUGUGUGUGAGGUCUGUGUGUGGUGUGUGAGGUUUGUGUGUGUGUGGUGUGUGUGAGGUCUGUGUGUGGUGUGUGAGGUCUGUGUGUGUGUGUGAGAUCUGUAUGUGUGAGGUCUGUGUCUGUGUGUGGUGUGUGAGGUUUGUGUGUGUGUGUGGUGUGAGAUCUGUAUGUGUGAGGUCUGUGUCUGUGUGUGGUGUGUGAGGUUUGUGUGUGUGUGUGGUGUGAGAUCUGUGUGUGUGUGAGGUCUGUGUGUGGUGUGUGAGAUCUGUAUGUGUGAGGUCUGUGUGUGUAGUGUGUGAGGUUUGUGUGUGUGAGGUCUGUGUGUGGUGUGUGAGGUCUGUGUGUGUGUGGUGUGUGUGAGGUCUGUGUGUGGUGUGUGAGGUUUGUGUGUGUGUGGUGUGUGUGAGGUCUGUGUGUGUGGUGUGUGAGGUCUGUGUGUGUGUGGUGUGUGAGGUCUGUGUGUGUGGUGUGUCUGAGGUCUGUGUGUGGUGUGUGUGUGGUGUGUGCAGUGUGUGUGUAUCUGCGGUGGCAUCUGUGUGUGGGUGGUGUGUGAGGUCUGUGUGGAGGUCUGUGUGUGGUGUCAAUGUGAGGUCUGUGUCUGUGUGUCGUGUGUGAGGUCUGUGUGUGGUGUGAGAGCUGUGUGUGUGUGAGGUCUGUGUGUGGUGUGUGAGGUUUGUAUGUGUGUGGUGUGUGUGAGGUCUGUGUGUGGUGUGUGAAGUUUGUGUGUGUGUGUGGUAUGUGUGAGGUCUGUGUGUGGUGUGUGAGGUUUGUGUGUGUGUGUGGUGUGAGAUCUGUGUAUGUGUGAGGUCUGUGUGUGCUGUGUGAGGUUUGUGUGUGUGUGGUGUGUGAGGUCUGUGUGUGUGUGGUGUGUGCAGUGUGAGUGCGUGUAUGUGUGUGGUGACAUCUGUGUGUGUGUGGUGUGUGAGGUCCGUGUGUGUGUGGUGUGUGUGAGGUCUGUGUGUGGUAUGUGAGGUUUGUGUGUGGUGUGAGAUCUGUGUGUAUGAGGUCUGUGUGGUGUGUGAGGUUUGUGUGUGAGGUCUGCGUGUGUGCUGUGUGCAGUGUGAGUGCGUGUAUGUCUGUGUGGUGGCGUCUGUGUGUGUGUGGUGUGUGAGGUCCGUGUGUGUGUGGUGUGAGGUCUGUGUGUGUGGCGUGUGUGAGUGGGUGUAUGUGUGUGUCUGUGUGGGUGUUGUAUGUGUGUGUCGUGUGUGUUUGGGGGCUGAGGUCCCAUGUAGACAGAAGUCAGUGCCAAAGCCACAAACUCCUCCCGACCCCCCGCCUGCCAUUUGAACACUUGUCCCGACAUGCCCUGUCCUGGGGCGCCAGGACCCACUCACUCAUUUACUCCUUGCUGGGGCUGCCUUGGCUCCCCGAGAGGUGGGCGGGAGGCGAGCAUGAGGAGAGAGGGGCGGCUGGGUC